CCUACGGGAGGCAGCAGUGGGGAAUAUUGGACAAUGGGCGAAAGCCUGAUCCAGCCAUGCCGCGUGUGUGAAGAAGGUCUUCGGAUUGUAAAGCACUUUAAGUUGGGAGGAAGGGUUGUAGAUUAAUACUCUGCAAUUUUGACGUUACCGACAGAAUAAGCACCGGCUAACUCUGUGCCAGCAGCCGCGGUAAUACAGAGGGUGCAAGCGUUAAUCGGAAUUACUGGGCGUAAAGCGCGCGUAGGUGGUUCGUUAAGUUGGAUGUGAAAUCCCCGGGCUCAACCUGGGAACUGCAUCCAAAACUGGCGAGCUAGAGUAUGGUAGAGGGUGGUGGAAUUUCCUGUGUAGCGGUGAAAUGCGUAGAUAUAGGAAGGAACACCAGUGGCGAAGGCGACCACCUGGACUGAUACUGACACUGAGGUGCGAAAGCGUGGGGAGCAAACAGGAUUAGAUACCCUGGUAGUCCAGCCGUUAAACGNUGUACAACUAGCCGUUGGANCCUUGAGCUCUUAGUGGCGCGAGACUACGACAUUAAGUUAGUACCGACCGUCGGGUAGGUACGGCCGGCCGAACGGUUAAACCGUUAACGAAACGAAGUAGUAGACGUCGAGAGACGACGACGACGACGACGACGGAGGGAGGAGG
rnacentral:rRNA from 1 species